CAAUAGCGUAUAUUUAAGUUGUUGCAGUUAAAAAGCUCGUAGUUGGAUUUCGGAUGGGAUUUGCCGGUCCGUCGUUACGAUGUGCACUGGCCAGUCCUAUCUUGUCGUCGGGGACUAGCUCCUUGGAUCCACUUCCUGGGACUAGGAGCUGACGAGGUUACUUUGAGUAAAUUAGAGUGUUCAAAGCAAGCCUACGCUCUGAAUACAUUAGCAUGGAAUAACACGAUAGGACUCUGGCUUAUCUUGUUGGUCUGUGAGACCAGAGUAAUGAUUAAGAGGGACAGUCGGGGACAUUCGUAUUUCAUUGUCAGAGGUGAAAUUCUUGGAUUUAUGAAAGACGAACUUCUGCGAAAGCAUUUGUCAAGGAUGUUUUCAUUAA
rnacentral:rRNA from 1 species